rnacentral:rRNA from 1 species
UGAAGGUCCUCUGGAUUGUAAACUUCUUUUAUAUGGGACGAACCGGGCAUUCCUGCCCGAUUGACGGUACCAUAGGAAUAAGCACCGGCUAACUCCGUGCCAGCAGCCGCGGUAAUACGGAGGGUGCAAGCGUUAUCCGGAUUCACUGGGUUUAAAGGGUGCGUAGGAGGGUAGGUAAGUCAGUGGUAGAAAUCUCCGGGCUCAACUCGGAAACUGCCGUUGAUACUAUCUGUCUUGAAUACCGUGGAGGUGAGCGGAAUAUGUCAUGUAGCGGUGAAAUGCUUAGAUAUGACAUAGAACACCGAUUGCGAAGGCAGCUCACUACACGAAUAUUGACUCUGAGGCACGAAAGCGUGGGGAUCAAACAGGAUUAGAUACCCUGGUAGUCCACGCCCUAAACUAUGGAUACUCGACAUACGCGAUACACUGUGUGUGUCUGAGCGAAAGCAUUAAGUAUCCCACCUGGGAAGUACGACCGCAAGGUUG